rnacentral:rRNA from 1 species
GAUGAACGCUGGCGGCGUGCCUAAUACAUGCGAGUCGAGCGAACAGACGAGGAGCUUGCUCCUCUGACGUUAGCGGCGGACGGGUGAGUAACACGUGGAUAACCUACCUAUAAGGCUGGGAUAACUUCGGGAAACCGGAGCUAAUACCGGAUAAUAUAUUGAACCGCAUGGUUCAAUAGUGAAAGACGGUUUUGCUGUCACUUAUAGAUGGAUCCGCGCCGCAUUAGCUAGUUGGUAAGGUAACGGCUUACCAAGGCAACGAUGCGUAGCCGACCUGAGAGGGUGAUCGGCCACACUGGAACUGAGACACGGUCCAGACUCCUACGGGAGGCAGCAGUAGGGAAUCUUCCGCAAUGGGCGAAAGCCUGACGGAGCAACGCCGCGUGAGUGGUGAAGGUCUUCGGAUCGUAAAACUCUGUUAUUAGGGAAGAACAAAUGUGUAAGUAACUAUGCACGUCUUGACGGUACCUAAUCAGAAAGCCACGGCUAACUACGUG